GACGAACGCUGGCGGCGUGCUUAACACAUGCAGGUCGAACGGAAAGGCCUGCUUUCCCUUGUGGAUUGCGGGUGCUCGAGUGGCGAACGGGUGAGUAACACGUGAGUGAUCUGCCCCCAACUUGGGUAUAAGCCUGGGAAACUGGGUCUAAUUCCCGAUAGGACUGCAGGGUGGUGCCUGUGGUGGAAAACGAUUUUCUAGUGGUUGGGGAUGAGCUCGCGGCCUAUCAGCUUGUUGGUGGGGUAAUGGCCUACCAAGGCGGCGACGGGUAGCCGGCCUGAGAGGGUGGACGGCCACAUUGGGACUGAGAUACGGCCCCGACGCCUACGGGAGGCAGCAGUGGGGAAUAUUGCACAAUGGGCGGAAGCCUGAUGCAGCGACGCCGCGUGGGGGAUGACGGCCUUCGGGUUGUAAACUCCUUUCGACCGCGAGGAAGCCACCUGGUUGGAAGGGUGGUGACGGUAGUGGUAGAAGAAGCACCGGCUAACUACGUG
rnacentral:rRNA from 1 species